rnacentral:lncRNA from 10 species
ACUAUCUUUCCACAUUUAUGGGGGUCUCUCCAGGCUAGCUGUCACUUCUGGGUGGCACAUCCCACUUCCUGGGUUCACUGGGGUGGUCCUAUGUGCCCCUCCCUGGAGACCCUACCAACCAACACAUCCUUAGCUCCUCCCACUGCAGUGGGCACAGUGGCUCAGGGAAGACGGAAGCCGCCAAAAAGAUCAUGCAGUUCCUAAGCAGCCUGGAGCAGGAUCAGACGGGGAACCGAGAGUGUCAGCCAGGAGAGGGGUGGUCUCCAGGCCUCUGGCGUCUCCUGGGGUCAGCUGCAGGCACUGCCCUUUCUGAUGGGACUGACGCCUCCCUGGACCUGCCCCUAGCUGGGAUGCCUGCUGGUGGGGGCUACUGCUGCCCAGGGAUGCUUGAACACCCCUCCCUGUACAGGUGGAGGAUAUGCUGCCUAUACUCAGCAGCUUUGGCCAUGCCAAGACCAUCCUCAAUGCCAAUGCCAGCCGCUU